rnacentral:rRNA from 1 species
AAAGAUUCUUCGGAUGAUUUCCUAUUUGACUGAGCGGCGGACGGGUGAGUAACGCGUGGGUAACCUGCCUCAUACAGGGGGAUAACAGUUAGAAAUGACUGCUAAUACCGCAUAAGCGCACAGGACCGCAUGGUCCGGUGUGAAAAACUCUGGUGGUGUGAGAUGGACCCGCGUUUGAUUAGCUAGUUGGUGGGGUAACGGCCUACCAAGACGACGAUCAGUAGCCGGACUGAGAGGUUGAACGGCCACAUUGGGACUGAGACACGGCCCAGACUCC